UCCUCGCCGUGCGCCGCCAGCCGCCUCCAGGUUUAAGGAAGUCGGGAGCCCACGGCGUCUUCAGAUAGGCCCGCGGGCUGUGGACCCAGGCUGCCCGGGGAGAAGCGGCUGAUGGCGGAAGCGGCCCUCCGGGAGACGUGCCCGGGUCAGCGCCCCUUCUCUGCCACGGAGCCGCGGCUGUUCGGGUUGCCGGGCACGGGGCUCGUUCCUUGCCUGCAUUCCUUCCCGUUGACCGGUGCUCGGCCUUCUGUGCUCAGGGUGGUGCGGGCGUAUCUCCUCGAGAGGGCGAGGAACGGCUCACCGAGCCACACGGGCUCACAUCAAGGCCGAUGGCCCGGCUGCGGAGGGGCAGGGGUGGCGCCGGGCGGAGGGCCGCGCGCCGCCCGCGUCCGUGAAGCCUCCUGUCCCGCUGCUGUAGGCACACCUCUACUCCAGCAGGCCUGCCUUCCUCACGCCGCUCGUCUCGACGUUUGGUGCCUUUCGCCUUAUUGAUAUGCCAGGGCUUUGGCGCCCGGGCAAGACGUCCCUUUCCUCUGAACUGUACACAGGACCCUCCGUACUCAGUGUGUUUCCCCAUGUCAUUGCGUUGAUCAAGGAUAGGCAUCUGUCUUCGUAUUCCCAGGUUUCAUACAGAAGACGUACAGGGGCCAAGUCCCGCGGGUGUACUUAUUAAAAAAAAAGUAAAAGGUGUAACUUUUGCCCUUAAGAAGCCCAUAAUGAAUUAAUUGGUUGAAAGACUUUCAUGAAACACUUGAAGACCUGUUUAGGACAAGGAGUAUAAUAUGAAUCCAAAAUAAGGGAAAGAUCGUGGCCUAUAGCUACAAAGGCUAUCCCUACAGAUUUGGUUUUAAAACUGUGAAGAAGUUGUAACAUUUAAGCAACCAUUCCAAGUCUGGAGCCAGAGGGAGGGGCAGGAGAAACAGUAAGAAAUGAAGACAGAAUGGACUUUGUUUUUUAAUGCCAUUGAUUAUGUGGCACGUGGCACAGUGCCACCCAUGUAAUAGACAUACAAUCAGGGACAAAGGUAAAUAAACACAACAGAUAGUGCCCAAAGAGAACUAGAUUUGAAAAUGAGAGUUUUUUUUAAGUCAAAUGUAGAAAGAGAUCAAAAUGACUUGAGAAAAAUGGUAAAUACUGAAGGUUGGCAAAGAAAAUCCUGCAUAUGGAUAAAAAGCCCCUAAUCAAGAACACUAACAACAAAUACAGCACAUUAUAACUCAAGAGAACUUUAUUGUACAAGUAGAAAUAUAUUCUACUUAUAUGUUCAUAUAUAUAAAAAUCGAAAUCUCAUAUUGAAAGAGCAUAUUGUGUACCUGAAGAACACUGAUAAUGAACAACAGCAGAAUGUAUUGUUAAAAUUAUUAGCCUUUACAUUUUGAAAAGUGGUAAUUUAGACCAAAAAGUAAUUUAUAAGAGAAAGAAACUGGAUCAUCAUACAAUUUCAACAUUAGCACCAUACAAGAAGAAAAUGGUGAAACAUUUAAAAUAUUCAAAGAAAAAAAAAACCAAGGAAUGUGUGUGUCCAGCAAAACUUUCAAGUAUAAAAGCGUAGACUGAUUUGUUACCAAAAUGCAAGAGCUCAUAGAAUGUUACCUACUUGAAUUCUUCCUGAAGACUCUACUAGAUGAAGCUCAGCAGUCAAAACAAUUGACAGACAAUGACAGGACGGUUAGUGAACAUAGAUACCUGAUUACGUCUAGAGCUAGGACUAGUUGAGGGCUCAUUUCAGUCAAGGUCCAGUCAAGAUACAGAAAUUACACAGUAAUUUGAACAGAGAGCAUUUACUAUAAAGAAUUGCUAACGGAAUUGAAGUAAAGGGUGGUUAUCUAGUAAGAGGCAAAGAGAACUCCUACCGCAUAGGACUAGUAGAUUAGGGAGCAGCUACUACCCCCAGGACUGAAGUAGCAUGGCCAAGGGAGAGCCCCCCAGCCCCGCUCUCCAGAUCUCGGAGAGGGUAUGACUGUGGCUCCCUAGUGGGCAAAGAACUUCCCUGAGAUGUGACCUCAGGGGGACCUGUCUGGAGGGCCUAGAGAAGCUAUCUGCAGGUGCCUUUCCUCAGAAUUCACCGCCCAGUGCCAGCAGCACACCCCUAGGAAGGCAUCUGAAAGCAGGGUGCUGGGCGGAGCUGCUCCGGGAAGUUGCUGCUUGUUGCCGGCCGCUGGCUGCUCCCGAAAGGAGCCGUGCACUGGGCAGGAGCCCCAGGGGACGAGCACAUGAUAGCCGGAGAGGGACCUCCUCCAGGGCCCUUCACCAACAAUACCUAACAAGCUAGCUGGCACAGGAGGAGUAGUUCCAGAGUUCAGCUCCAUUGUUGCAGAGCAAAGAUGAGCUCAGAGUCAAUAAAUAGGCAUCUAACAGAGUUAAAAGUAUAUAUGGGUUAUAUUCUGAAAUAUUGACAUAAGUUUAAAAUUGGAGGGGAGUACAGGGAAGCAUAGACAAAAAUUAAUGACAGUAUGUUGAUGGUAGUAUUAGUGUUACUAUUUUGAGAAUGUGUAAUGUGGGAUAAAAUGAAUAAUUAUCAUUA